rnacentral:rRNA from 1 species
GUGGGGAAUAUUGGGCAAUGGGGGCAACCCUGACCCAGCAACGCCGCGUGAGGGAAGAAGGUUUUUGGAUUGUAAACCUCUGUCCUAUGGGAAGAAGGAAGUGACGGUACCAUAGGAGGAAGCCCCGGCUAACUACGUGCCAGCAGCCGCGGUAAUACGUAGGGGGCGAGCGUUGUCCGGAAUUACUGGGCGUAAAGGGUGCGCAGGUGGCCUGACAAGUCAGAUGUGAAAUACCGAUGCUUAACGUCGGGGCUGCAUUUGAAACUAUGAGGCUGGAGUGCAGGAGAGGGAAGCGGAAUUCCUAGUGUAGCGGUGAAAUGCAUAGAUAUUAGGAGGAACACCAGUGGCGAAGGCGGCUUUCUGGACUGUAACUGACACUGAGGCACGAAAGCGUGGGGAGCAAACAGGAUUAGAAACCCUGGUAGUCC